GACGAACGCUGGCGGCGUGCUUAACACAUGCAAGUCGUGCGGUAAGGCCCUUUCGGGGGUCCACGAGUGGCGAACGGGUGAGUAACACGUGAGUAACCUGCCCACAACUUUGGGAUAACGCUAGGAAACUGGUGCUAAUACUGGAUAUGUGCUCCUGCUGCAUGGUGGGGGUUGGAAAGCUCCGGCGGUUGUGGAUGGACUCGCGGCCUAUCAGCUUGUUGGUGGGGUAGUGGCCUACCAAGGCGGCGACGGGUAGCCGGCCUGAGAGGGUGACCGGCCACAUUGGGACUGAGAUACGGCCCAGACUCCUACGGGAGGCAGCAGUGGGGAAUAUUGCACAAUGGGCGCAAGCCUGAUGCAGCAACGCCGCGUGCGGGAUGACGGCCUUCGGGUUGUAAACCGCUUUCAGCAGGGACGAAGCUUUUUGUGACGGUACCUGCAGAAGAAGCACCGGCUAACUACGUG
rnacentral:rRNA from 1 species